AACGAACGCUGGCGGCAUGCCUAACACAUGCAAGUCGAACGAGACCUCCGGGUCUAGGGGCGCCCGGGGUCGGAACGCGUGGGAAGCUGCCCUUAGGGUCGGAAUAACUCCCCGACAGGGGUGCUAAUACCGGACAAUAGCUUCGGACCAAUGAUAUAUCGCACUGGGAUGUGCCGCCGUUGGAUUAGCUAGUUGGUACGCUAAUAGCCGACCAAGGGGACCAUUCAUAGCUGGUCUGUGAGAAGGAUUAGCAACACUGAGAGUGAGACACGGCCCAGAAUCUUACGGGAGGCAGCAGUGCGGAAUAUUGCAACAUGGGCGGAGGGCAGAUCGAGCUAUGCCGCGUAAGUGAUGAAGGCCUUAGGGUUGUAAAGCUCUUUUACCCGGGAUCAUAAUGACAGUACCGGGACAAUAAGCUACGGCUAACUCCGUG
rnacentral:rRNA from 1 species